rnacentral:misc_RNA from 1 species
AAGCCUUGGUGGAACAAGCUAUAUGAGUUCCUGAUAUGGAAUUCGUAAGUACAGAAGCCUUUGGCCUUGCUCUGCUUCAUGUGGCACAGGCCAGUUACUUGAUAUGCAAUUCUGCCCAGUCCAGCCAUGGAAUGAUUCCGGAUAUGGUGCUAGCUCAGUAGCUUCCUGUAAAAAGAAUCACUGAAGGGUAAUUAAGUAUUAGUUCUUGAUAACAGAUAAUUAAGUAUUAGUUCUUGAUAACAGAUACUUUUCUCAUGUUUGCUAGUUCAGUAUCUCCCCUUUUUUUCACCUGUUGUAGAAUUCCAUUAUAUGUUGCUUGGUUUUCAGACCAGCU